rnacentral:sRNA from 1 species
UUUGUGCAAGGGGUAGGAGCGGCAUCCUUUUAUCUCGUUUUUAAGAACGAGAUAAAAGAUACAGCGGAUAACCCGACCCGCA